GCUAUGGAAACUCGUCCAAUCCACUGGUAGGAUGAACACUGCUGGAGAUAUAUUUCAUUGAAACCCGCUCCACUCGGGGAAUAGCAACCUUCAGACCUGGCUGCUGAGGAAACACCGUUUUAAACCUGCCCGAGAUAACCAUCCUGACUCGGCUGGAGAAGUUUACAGACCUUGAGUCUGCUGUGGAGCUAGUCCUAUAACUCUGCUUGAGGGACCUAGCUGGGAAAUGAGAAAAGUUGGUACAGAACACCCGUCGACUCGUCGAAC
rnacentral:lncRNA from 1 species